rnacentral:tRNA from 1 species
GGUAGAGUAGUGGUUCCACGCUCACCUUGCAUGUCAGAUGUUCUGGGUUCAAAUCCCGGCAUGACCA